CAGGCAGAGCAAUGUGCAGAGGAGAAAAAGCACACAGGUGCCCCAGCCCCAGCGCCCAGGGCAGAGCGAAGAUCCAGAGACGUGAGCCGCCCA